rnacentral:lncRNA from 1 species
UCCCCUCACCGACCCCCGCUUUGUCCUCUCAGCGGUUCCUGAUGGUUUUUAAGGGGUUUUCGCACCUUUUUUCUGUCAGGUUUUAGCAGCUUCUCCUCCCGGCGGUUCCUGUCAGCGAUUCCCGCCCUUUCCUCUCCUCUUUUAUUUCCUUUUUUCUCCUCUUUUCUUUCCUUUUUUUCUCAUAAUUUCUUUCCUUUUCUAACAGAUUUUCCCACCUUUUCCUGUCAGCAAUUAAUACUACCUUUUCCUUCCAGCUUUUUGUUGCUUUUUCUGUCAAAUUUUCCCACAUUUUCCUCUCAGUUCUUGAAUUUUCCUGUCAGUUUUUACCUCAGUUUUUGCCUUUUCCUGUCAGUUUUUGCCUUUUCCUGUCAGUUUUUACCUCAGUUUUUGCCUUUUCCUGUCAGAUUUUUACCUCAGUUUUUGCCUUUUCCUGUCAGAUUUUACCACAGUUUUUGCCUUUUCCUGUCAGUUUUUACCUCAGUUUUUGCUUUUUUUUUUUUUUUCCUUUUUUUUUUGGUCAGCUUUUUAUUUCCUUUCUUGCCUUUUCCUUUCCGCUUUUCAUCCCAUUUUUACCUUUUCCUUUCAGUUUUUAUUGCUUUCUCCCCUUUUUGCCUUUUCCUCUGUUUUUCCUGCCUUUUUCUGUCAGUGAUUCUUGCCUUUUUCUCUCCAUUCCUCCCACCCUUUUCUAACAACUUUUCCCUCUCAUUUCUAACAGUUUUUCACACUUUUUUUCUCAGCAGUUCCCACCUUUUCAGUUUUUCCUACCUUUUCCUGCCCUUUCCUCUUUUUCUUACCUUUUUCUCUCAGCUUUUCCCCUCAUCUUCCCCCCUCUUUUUCUAAUAGUUUUCCCCCCCUUUUCCUCUCAGCUUUUCUUGUCAUUUUCCUCAGCUUUUCAUGCUUUUUUUCUCUCAGCUUUUCUUGCCCUUUACCUCAACUUUUGCCACCUUUUCUUUCCUGUCAGCUUUUCCCACAUUUUCCUCUCAGCUUUUCCUGCCCUUUUCCUCAGCUUUUCCCACCUUUUCCUCUCAGCUUUUCUUCCCCUUUUCCCUCUCAGCUUUUCCCACCUUUUAUUUCCAGCAAUUCCCACCUUUUCCUCUCAGCUUUUCUUGCCCUUUUCCUCACACCUUUUCCUCUCAGCUUUUCCUUCCUUUUCCUCUCACCUUUUCCCACCUUUUCCUCUCAGCUUUCCUUCCCCUUUCCCUAAUGUCUUUUCCCACCCUUCCCUCACCUUUUCUUACCUUUUUCUCCUCUUUUUCCCUUCCUUUCUCCACGUUUCCCUCUCACCUCUUCCCACCUCGUCCCUGAGGCAAAAUGGCGGAGGCGGCGGAGACAAAAUGGCGGAACCGGGGGGCAGCGACACCCUCGUGAUGUCACACCCCCAUGACGUCACACCCCUAUGACGUCACACCCCUACGACGUCACAC